CGGCCUGGCCCCGGGAGCGCGGCGCCGCGGGAAUCGCCGGCCCGGUUCCGGCCGCGGCCGCCCCUUGGGCGGGGCGUGCUCCUGAGAAGGCCCCCGGGCCGGGUGGCGGGUUUUGCCGCAGGCGGGAGGGAUCCAGCCCCCCUCGCUGAAUCCAGCCGCGCGGUAGACGCUGCCCGCCCCCCGCCCCCCCGCCCCCCCGGAGUCAUUCGGGGAAGUCCGCGGCUGUUGAGCUAAAAUUGCUGUUGCCCGAGCUGCUAAAUGGAAAUCGGUUUCGUGCGCAACCUGUGACCUGGGACAGGUUUUAAACAGAAGAAUGACACAAUAUAAUACACAUUUUAAAAAAUAACUAUGGCCAGAAGAAAAUAAGAACCAUGGCUGCCUUGUGGAGAAUGGGCUAUGAAAGCAGAGACCAAUUAUGAGACUAUCUCAGUAGUCCAGGUCUCCAUGAAAACAUGAAAGUUGUUUGGAAGAGGAGGAGGGGGCCCACGUGCAUGUCUUCCACAGCUCUGCUGAUCUAGAGUUUCUCCAGGGCAAAUGCCCACAUCACCUCUCACAUCCCCAGAAGUAGCUUAGCUUCUCACACUUCAUGGCAAAAGAGGAUUGCUGUUGGCAGUCAGCAGAUUGGAUGCAACUGAUACAAUGCAGCCAGGUUAUGAAUUGGUAAAGGACUGCAGCAGGGAGCAAAAGGGAAAUGGAAAUGCCUCAAGGACCUGAAGAUCGGAGUGACCGAGGGUACCCCAGAACAGUGGCACCUGAGAGGCCCACCUGACCCCAAAGCUUUCAGAAAUGAAAAAGCUUUUCAGUUUUAAAACUUUUUCAUGUGUGGGGGUUUCCCCUCUUGGUUUGUUUUUGUUUUUUUUGUUUUUGUUUUUGUUUUCAUCUAUUGUGUUGAGACAGUAACCAUGAUUUAAAAGGCAUAGUCACCUCUUCUAGCUCCAGGAACCAGAUGCCACUCCUUAUGGUUAUUUCACAAUGUGGCAGAAACCGGUUUGUCAAUUCUUUCUUCCCAACCAUACCCUCACAGACAUCACCAAUAAGGAAGUAAUGGGGAGCUUGUGGUACAUGACUUCUCAUCCAGGAGUCUUUAUACACUGCUUCACAUUUUGCUUUUACGAAAAUUGCUGCAUGUGUGGUUUAACACACUCAGAUGCUGAAGCAAUGAACAGAAUUCCCAUCUUAAAGAAUGUGAAAGGUCAAUAAAAUAAUUAAAAUCA